AUGAUUAUGAAAAUAAUAGACUAAUGCAGAUGGGGGAAAUGUUUAUAUAGAAUAAGAGCACAAUACUCUAAAAGCCAGGACCAAUAUUAAUGACUGUAGCUGCAAGCUGCUUUUUGAGUAUGCAUGACAUUCAGACUAACAGGAAAUUUCUUUGGCAUGCAAUAUUGUGUACAUGUUGAUCUGCCGGGGCAUCACCACAACUAUAAACAGUUAAAGAUUUGUAUUUCUGUAAAUACAUAUUUUUAGAACAUUAUGAUCAAAUGUGAAUUUCAGGUCAAGCACCUGCUGUACAUAGAACAACAAUCCAUUACAGCUUUGACUAUGCCGAGCAGGUCUUCUACCCAUACUAGGCACAGCAAGAGUGCCCUGCUUUGAAGUGUUCUGUAAAUCAUAUGGUUCACAGAUAUCUCAGUGAUAAGGGUUUAGCUGUUAUGUGGCCAAUGGUGUGGUACCUCAUUUUCAACAUCAUCCAUAUAGAGAAGACUCUGCAUACCUGCACAUUGACAACUGUGUUAGGUGGAAUAAAAACAAUGCAGUCAUUGGGGUCUGAUGUAUUCUGAAGGGAGAGACACAGCAUUUAUUUAAAUGGGAGCAGGUGACAUAAAGUUCAGUCAUGUGUGAGAUUUGGUCUGUGGAAGACCAAAUGGAGGCAGCACACAUCCUUUGUGGAUUGAUGACCUUGGCAAACUG